GACGAACGCUGGCGGCGUGCUUAACACAUGCAAGUCGAACGGAAAGGCCCUGCUUUUGUGGGGUGCUCGAGUGGCGAACGGGUGAGUAACACGUGAGUAACCUGCCCUUGAUUUUGGGAUAACUUCAGGAAACUGGGGCUAAUACCGGAUAGGAGCUCCUGCUGCAUGGUGGGGGUUGGAAAGUUUCGGCGGUUGGGGAUGGACUCGCGGCUUAUCAGCUUGUUGGUGGGGUAGUGGCUUACCAAGGCUUUGACGGGUAGCCGGCCUGAGAGGGUGACCGGCCACAUUGGGACGGAGAUACGGCCCAGACUCCUACGGGAGGCAGCAGUGGGGAAUAUUGCACAAUGGGCGGAAGCCUGAUGCAGCAACGCCGCGUGCGGGAUGACGGCCUUCGGGUUGUAAACCGCUUUCGCCUGUGACGAAGCGUGAGUGACGGUAAUGGGUAAAGAAGCACCGGCUAACUACGU
rnacentral:rRNA from 1 species